GCCAGGAGGAAAGAUGGCGGGGUUUUACACGGAACUGGAAAAAGAAACGGUCCAAACAAGAGUCCUGUGCGGCUUGUAAAAUGCACGUUAUGUGGUUCUGUUUUGAAAUAUAAAAACCCAACAAGCUCCUUAAGUUUCACCUUUCAACUCAGCCGAGCUGCAUGACGGAGCAGCGCCAACUUUAACAAAAAUUACUGCUUUGCUAUGAAGUGUUGUGCUGUUUUUGGCUCCAUCCAUCUUCACAUCACCAGUUUCACCGUCCCUGCCAGAGAACACCUUUCCCUCAGCAUGAUGCAGCCACCGCCAAUCUCGUGUCUGCUCAGGGGUCUAAAAACUAAAAUUGUAUUUGAUGCGAUACGGACCAAGCAGAGCGAAGGCGCCGCAUACACACCUGGAACACAGCAUCGCGUUAACUAGAGUGGAGGGAAAACUGAAGUACUGCACAGACUGAUUAGGACACCUUUCUGAACUUGGAAGAUCCAUCAGUCGACCAGGCUGCAUUAUGAGGUGACUGGUAACCAGACGUCGUCUUAAACAUGCAGUACACAUUCCUGGACUAACAGAUGACUGAGUGUAAUAAGAUACUUCAAGCUACUUUUCAGAAAAACUUACAGAACACAUUCUGACUUAAUUUCUACAAACUGUUUAGAUGUUCUAUGCUGUAAAAAAGGAAGAUUUGAAAAAUGUUAUUUUGUAAUGAUUAGAUUUAUUUUUCUAUUAUCCAAAGUACCAGAAUCUACACACUAUUUUGCAAUUGCCUGAUUGAUUACAUGAUUUUCACAAAUUAAAUCUGACUAAGCAGUACUCAGUACUUAACCAGCCUGAAUACUUAGUUACUUAGUGUUUACUCUUUUACUUCUAUCCAAGUGAGAAUAUGUUAAAGUAGUGUUUGAGUACUUGCUGUAUUAUUUAUUGCUGGUGAAAUAUGUCCUAUGUCCCCAGUUCCCCUCAUUUUGGAAUAAAUAAACCAGUCAUUUCU